AACUACAUAUCAAUAAGCUAAGGGGAAGAAACCAACAGGGGAUUGCCCUAGUAACGGGCGAGUGAAGCGGCAACAGCUCAAAUUUGAAAUCUGGCUCUCGGGCCCGAGUUGUAAUUUGUAGAGGAUGCUUUUGAUGCGGUGCCUUCCGAGUUCCCUGGAACGGGACGCCAUAGAGGGUGAGAGCCCCGUCUGGUUGGAUGCCAAAUCUCUGUAAAGCUCCUUCGACGAGUCGAGUAGUUUGGGAAUGCUGCUCUAAAUGGGAGGUAUAUGUCUUCUAAAGCUAAAUACCGGCCAGAGACCGAUAGCGCACAAGUAGAGUGAUCGAAAGAUGAAAAGCACUUUGAAAAGAGAGUUAAAAAGUACGUGAAAUUGUUGAAAGGGAAGCGUUUAUGACCAGACUUGGGCUUGGUUAAUCAUCUGGGGUUCUCCCCAGUGCACUUUUCCAGUCCAGGCCAGCAUCAGUUUUCGCCGGGGGAUAAAGGCUUCGGGAAUGUGGCUCUCUCCGGGGAGUGUUAUAGCCCGUUGCGUAAUACCCUGGCGGGGACUGAGGUUCGCGCAUCUGCAAGGAUGCUGGCGUAAUGGUCAUCAACGACCCGUCUUGAAACACGGACCAAGGAGUCGUCUUCGUAUGCGAGUGUUCGGGUGUCAAACCCCUACGCGUAAUGAAAGUGAACGCAGGUGAGAGCUUCGGCGCAUCAUCGACCGAUCCUGAUGUUCUCGGAUGGAUUUGAGUAAGAGCAUACGGGGCCGGACCCGAAAGAAGGUGAACUAUGCCUGUGUAGGGUGAAGCCAGAGGAAACUCUGGUGGAGGCUCGCAGCGGUUCUGACGUGCAAAUCGAUCGUCAAACAUGGGCAUGGGGGCGAAAGACUAAUCGAACCUUCUAGUAGCUGGUUCCGCCAGUUCCCU
rnacentral:rRNA from 1 species